ACCUCCAAAGUGAUUGUGAAU
rnacentral:miRNA from 1 species